UCGGCUUCGUUACCAGUUUUCCCUGCGCUCGUCAAGCAGCGAACAUGCUAUCCACUCUGCAGCCUCCUCGCUGUUCCCUUUCUCGCUUCCCUCUCCAUCUUCCUUCUAAACCCUUCUUCUUUCACUCCAAACCAACCCCGCUCUCAUCUCCAUAUCCCAUCGCCAAUGCCACUCUCACCGACCAAAUUGCAACUUCCGCUUCAUCCCCAUCUCUUCACUCCCAAAUUCUCUCCAUCCGCCAUUCCCUUCUUUCCCGCCAAUUCACUGCCACCCAACUUGCCGAGUCCUAUCUCAAUCGCCUUCGAGCAUUGGAGCCUCACCUUAAGUCAUUUCUCCACGUCUCUGAUAGCGUUCUCUCCGAUGCCCGCGAGAUUGAUGACAAAAUUCUGAGAAAUGAGGAAUUGGGUCCUUUGGCUGGGGUGCUUGUCGGCGUUAAGGACAAUAUUUGUACUGCGGGUAUGCCUUCCACUGGUGGGUCUAGGAUUCUCGAUGGGUAUCGACCGCCAUUUGAUGCUACUGCUGUGAGGAGAAUCAAGGAGUUGGGUGGGAUUGUGGUUGGGAAGACUAAUUUGGAUGAGUUUGGAAUGGGUAGUACUACUGAAGCCUCUGCUUUCCAGGUGACUGCAAAUCCGUGGGAUUUGAAAAGGGUCCCGGGAGGAUCAUCAGGAGGCUCCGCUUCAGCUGUUUCUGCUAGGCAGUGUGUGGUGUCUUUAGGAAGUGAUACAGGUGGAAGUGUGCGGCAGCCAGCGUCUUUUUGCGGUGUUGUUGGGUUGAAACCAACGUAUGGUCGUGUCUCAAGAUUUGGACUUAUGGCCUAUGCUUCAUCGCUUGAUGUCAUUGGCUGCUUGGGGACAACAGUUGCUGAUGCUGGGAUUCUUCUACAUGCAAUUUCUGGUCAUGAUACACUUGACGCCACCAGCAGUAAACGAGAAGUUCAUGAUUUCACGUCGCAAUUUACUGCUGCUGAUUCAUUGGAAAGUAAACCCUUGAAGGGAUUGAGGAUUGGCCUAAUUCGUGAAACUCUUGAUAAUGGUGUUGAUGGUGAAGUAAGUUCUGCAAUACGUGCUGCUGCUUCACAUCUUGAAGAACUGGGAUGCUCCAUCAAUGAGGUAUCACUGCCAUCAUUCUCUCUUGGGCUGCCUGCCUAUUACAUUCUUGCAUCAUCUGAAUCAUCUUCAAACUUAGCACGAUAUGACGGUGUCAGAUAUGGAAAUCAAGCUGUUGCUGAUGAGCUAACUGGCCUGUAUCAAAAUUCCAGAGCAACAGGAUUUGGUUCGGAGGUGAAAAUGAGAAUUUUGAUGGGAACAUACGCUCUCUCUGCUGGUUAUUACGAUGCUUACUACAAGCGUGCUCAGCAGGUGAGAAGCGUUAUUCAGAAAAGCUUCAAGGCAGCAUUAGAUGAAAAUGACAUCUUAAUAUCACCCGCUGCUCCAUCUGCCGCUUAUAAAAUUGGCGAAAAGGUGAAGGAUCCAUUGGCAAUGUAUGCAGGUGACAUCAUGACUGUCAAUGUUAACUUAGGUGGACUACCUGCAUUGGUGUUGCCUUGUGGAUUUGUUAGAGAUGGGUCCUCCGACCUCCCUGUCGGCCUUCAAAUGAUUGGCGCAGCGUUUGACGAGGGAAAGCUUGUUAAAGUGGGACACAUCUUUGAGCAAACUCUUCCAGACUGCAGAUUUGUUCCACCUCUACUAGCUGAUCACAUUGGGGGUUAGCUCCAAGUCUGUUGAGUUGUGAAAGCACCCAAAUUGGAAGCUCGUGUAUUAUUUGAUUAUGAUUCGGUGAGUGCUGCAAUUCAAAUGGAUUGGAUUCAAUUGCUAAAAUUUUGGUUGCUAUUAUUGGGACCUUAAAUGAGUCUUCGUUUGGGCAUUCCUUGGGUGUAAAUUGGAGAUUUAAGUAUUUUUUCAACCAUUUUUCUGA